CUGUGGCUUGGGUAGGUUACUUAACCUCUCUGUGCGUUGGUUCCUCAAGUGUAAGAUGGGGAUAAAAUACUACUUCCCCAGUAGUGUAUGCAGCCUGUUGCCUGUAUGGGUUGCCCUAAGGGACCUUGGAGACAGCC